GAGCGGCGGACGGGUGAGUAAUGCAUAGGAAUCUGCCCGGUAGUGGGGGAUAACCUGGGGAAACCCAGGCUAAUACCGCAUACGUCCUACGGGAGAAAGGGGGCUUCGGCUCCCGCUAUUGGAUGAGCCUAUGUCGGAUUAGCUAGNUGGUGAGGUAAAGUCUCACCAAGGCGACGAUCCGUAGCUGGUCUGAGAGGAUGAUCAGCCACAUCGGGACUGAGACACGGCCCGAACUCCUACGGGAGGCAGCAGUGGGGAAUAUUGGACAAUGGGGGGAACCCUGAUCCAGCCAUGCCGCGUGUGUGAAGAAGGCCCUCGGGUUGUAAAGCACUUUCAGUGAGGAAGAACGCCUGGUGGUUAAUACCCAUCAGGAAAGACAUCACUCACAGAAGAAGCACCGGCUAACUCCGUGCCAGCAGCCGCGGUAAUACGGAGGGUGCGAGCGUUAAUCGGAAUUACUGGGCGUAAAGCGCGCGUAGGUGGCUUGAUAAGCCGGUUGUGAAAGCCCCGGGCUCAACCUGGGAACGGCAUCCGGAACUGUCAAGCUAGAGUGCAGGAGAGGAAGGUAGAAUUCCCGGUGUAGCGGUGAAAUGCGUAGAGAUCGGGAGGAAUACCAGUGGCGAAGGCGGCCUUCUGGACUGACACUGACACUGAGGUGCGAAAGCGUGGGUAGCAAACAGGAUUAGAUACCCUGGUAGUCCACGCCGUAAACGAUGUCGACCAGCCGUUGGG
rnacentral:rRNA from 1 species